rnacentral:misc_RNA from 1 species
AAAAGUCGUAACAAGGUCUCCGUUGGUGAACCAGCGGAGGGAUCAUUAAAGAGUUGAAAAAACUCCAACCCCUGUGAACCUUACCUCGUCGUUGCUUCGGCGGCCGGAAGCCCCUCCCCGUACAGCGGGUGGGCCAACGCCGCCGGAGGCCACAAACUCUGAAUUUUUAGUGUAUCUCUGAGCCUAAAAACAAAUAAUCAAAACUUUCAACAACGGAUCUCUUGGUUCUGG